UACGAAGGGGGGCUAGCGUUGCUCGGAAUCACUGGGCGUAAAGAGCGUGUAGGCGGCCAGGUAGGUCGGUUGUGAAAACUGGAGGCUCAACCUUCAGAGGUCGACCGAAACCAUCUGGCUAGAGUCCGGGAGAGGAGAGUGGAAUUCCUGGUGUAGCGGUGAAAUGCGCAGAUAUCAGGAAGAACACCCGUGGCGAAAGCGGCUCUCUGGAACGGUACUGACGCUGAGACGCGAAAGCGUGGGGAGCGAACAGG
rnacentral:rRNA from 1 species